CCAUGUGAACGGCACUUGCACAUGGGUUAGCCGAUCCUAAGGGACGGGGGAAGCCCGUCCAAGAGCGUGUCUCCGCACGAGCUCCGAAAGGGAAUCGGGUUAAAAUUCCUGAGCCAGGACGCGACGGCGGACGGCAACAUUAGGAAGUCCGGAGACGCCGGCGAGGGCCCCGGGAAGAGUUAUCUUCGGGGAGGCUGACCUUUGCGGAUGGACACGCAAGGGUGCCGCACGACAUAGGCAAAACCAGCUAAGUCCGUGAUAGCUCACCGCUCACCGCUCGCUCGUGCAGCCAAAAAUGGCUAGUUUUUGCCCCAUUUUG
rnacentral:rRNA from 15 species